rnacentral:pre_miRNA from 1 species
AGAGGAAUAGCUGGGUCAAAUGUUGGUUCCAUCCCCAGCUUUCAAAGGAAUCUCCUUACUGCUUUUCAAAUUGGCCACACCAAUUUGCAGUCCCACCAGCAAU